rnacentral:rRNA from 1 species
UACGUAGGUGACCAGCGUUAUCCGGAAUUAUUGGGCGUAAAGAGCUCGUAGGCGGUUUGUCGCGUCUGCCGUGAAAGUCCGGGGCUCAACUCCGGAUCUGCGGUGGGUACGGGCAGACUAGAGUGAUGUAGGGGAGACUGGAAUUCCUGGUGUAGCGGUGAAAUGCGCAGAUAUCAGGAGGAACACCGAUGGCGAAGGCAGGUCUCUGGGCCACUACUGACGCUGAGAAGCGAAAGCGUGGGGAGCGAACAGG